rnacentral:misc_RNA from 1 species
GAUGAAGAACGCAGCGAAAUGCGAUAAGUAAUGUGAAUUGCAGAAUUCAGUGAAUCAUCGAAUCUUUGAACGCACCUUGCGCCCUUUGGCUAUUCCGAAGGGCAUGCCUGUUUGAGUAUCGUGAACACCUCAAUUCUCAUGGUUUGCCAUGAUGAGCUUGGACUUUGGGGGUUUUGCUGGCCUUUGGUCGGCUCCUCUCAAACGGAUCAGCUUUCCAGUGUUUGGUGGCGUCACGGGUGUGAUAACUAUCUACGCCUAUGGUUUUCUGCCAGAUAACCUUCGGCGAUGGAGGUUCGCUGGGGCUCAUAAAUGUCUCUCUUCAGUGGAGACAGCUUUUUGGACGUUUGAUCUCAAAUCAGGUAGGACUACCCGCUGAACUUAAGCAUAUCAAUAAGCGGAGGA